AGAAAGGAGGGACAACCAAAGCAAAAACUGCCAUAAUCCUAGAGUUUCUUGAUCAGGAUGCUGAUGCUGACAUUAGGAGGGAGUGUAUACUUAAAUCUCUCAUUAUCUACCUUGGAGAACGUGUUGAGGACUUGAUAAAAGAAUACAUGAUAUCCCAGAAAGAUGAAGCUGAGGAAGAGCUGCAGAGUACCACCAUGGCACUCUUCGUCUUCAGGGACAACUCAAGCCUCCUACAUCAGCCUCGAGACAUCGGGAUAAUCAUUGAUGGUGUGGAAGUCCUGAAUGAGUUGCCUUCUGUGGCAGCUGGAGUGGCAAUGGUCUUUGGACUCUGUUAUGCUCUUAAUAUGGAAUAUCCACGAGGAUUCAGGUUCACCUUUGAGGCUCUUCAAAAGAUUAUGAUGGAGCUUGACUUUAACAAGAUGACCUCUAAGAUUCGCAAACUUAAUUGUGAACUUAACACUGCACAGUAGUGUGUUUGCAUGCAUGUGUGCAUGUGUAUGUGCACAUGCAUGUGCAUGUGUGCUUGGUUAUUUUGCUUGGUUGGCCUGCA